CUCACUUGGAAGCAGGCUGAUGAUUGUGCACUCGCUGAAGACACGCUGCCGGAGAAGACGUGGAAGUGUGUGGAAGAGUGCCAGAGCAGGGAGUGUGACACAAAUACAUUUUUUACACAACAGCAAGAGGUGUUUAAUGUUCUCUAAUCAACAGUCAUCCCUGCAAUGCUCUUCCAAGGCAAUGAACACUCAUGAG